rnacentral:lncRNA from 1 species
CAGACCGGGCGUCGGGUGAGCCCAGAAGUGAGAGCAGUUGGCUGUGCCCCAGUGCUGUGUGACCCAGAGGCGCCGCUCACCCUCUCUGAGCUGGUGGACAUCAUAGGGGUGCAGCCCAGAACUGUCUUCUGAGGAAGAGGUGCUCUCCUGGGCCCCCACUGUCCCCAGGCCUCAGAAGGCAAGUGAGGUGCUGCCGUCAUCCAGGCUGGACAGUUCAGUGAUUUGCCUGAGGCCCCACAGCAGAGAACGAGAAGGCUGCCUGAUCAGAGAGUCCCUGAAGAAGAUUCUGUGGCUACAGGCUUCAGCAGAGUGUGAGGGAGACCCCGGUUAUUUCCUCAGCUAUUUCCACCAAAUCCUCCUGUCUUUCGUGGCCAACACCCCAGGCAAGGCUUGGGGCCCCCGUCUGCUGCUGGACGGUAAGUCCUGGCCC